rnacentral:rRNA from 1 species
CCUACGGGUUGCAGCAGUGGGGAAUAUUGCACAAUGGGCGCAAGCCUGAUGCAGCCAUGCCGCGUGUAUGAAGAAGGCCUUCGGGUUGUAAAGUACUUUCAGCGGGGAGGAAGGGAGUAAGGUUAAUAACCUUAUUCAUUGACGUUACCCGCAGAAGAAGCACCGGCUAACUCCGUGCCAGCAGCCGCGGUAAUACGGAGGGUGCAAGCGUUAAUCGGAAUUACUGGGCGUAAAGCGCACGCAGGCGGUCUGUCAAGUCGGAUGUGAAAUCCCCGGGCUCAACCUGGGAACUGCAUUCGAAACUGGCAGGCUGGAGUCUUGUAGAGGGGGGUAGAAUUCCAGGUGUAGCGGUGAAAUGCGUAGAGAUCUGGAGGAAUACCGGUGGCGAAGGCGGCCCCCUGGACAAAGACUGACGCUCAGGUGCGAAAGCGUGGGGAGCAAACAGGAUUAGAUACCCGUGUAGUC